AGUCGAGCGCAGGAAGUUAUCUGAUCCUCUUUUAGAGGUGACGAUAAUGGAAUGAGCGGCGGACGGGUGAGUAACACGUAGGCAACCUGCCUGUAAGACUGGGAUAACUCGUGGAAACGCGAGCUAAUACCGGAUAACACUUUUCAUCUCCUGAUGAGAAGUUGAAAGGCGGCUUUUGCUGUCACUUACAGAUGGGCCUGCGGCGCAUUAGCUAGUUGGUAAGGUAAUGGCUUACCAAGGCGACGAUGCGUAGCCGACCUGAGAGGGUGAUCGGCCACACUGGGACUGAGACACGGCCCAGACUCCUACGGGAGGCAGCAGUAGGGAAUCUUCCGCAAUGGACGAAAGUCUGACGGAGCAACGCCGCGUGAGUGAUGAAGGUUUUCGGAUCGUAAAACUCUGUUGUUAGGGAAGAACAAGUGCCAUAGUAACUGAUGGCACCUUGACGGUACCUAACCAGAAAGCCACGGCUAACUACGUGCCAGCAGCCGCGGUAAUAC
rnacentral:rRNA from 1 species